rnacentral:rRNA from 1 species
CUACGGGGUGCUCCAGUGAGGAAUAUUGCACAAUGGGGGGAACCCUGAUGCAGCAACGCCGCGUGGAGGAUGACGCAUUUCGGUGUGUAAACUCCUUUUAUAUGUCAAGAAAAUGACGGUAGCAUAUGAAUAAGCACCGGCUAACUCUGUGCCAGCAGCCGCGGUAAUACGGAGGGUGCAAGCGUUACUCGGAAUCACUGGGCGUAAAGGACGCGUAGGCGGGUUGGAAAGUCAGGUGUGAAAUCCUACAGCUUAACUGUAGAACUGCACUUGAAACUUCUAAUCUAGAGUAUGGGAGGGGGAGAUGGAAUUAGUGGUGUAGGGGUAAAAUCCGUAGAUAUCACUAGGAAUACCUAAAGCGAAGGCGAUCUCCUGGAACAUUACUGACGCUAAGGCGUGAAAGCGUGGGGAGCAAACAGGAUUAGAUACCCGUGUAGUC